rnacentral:misc_RNA from 1 species
AUUUUAUUAAGCCAACCAUAUGGUGUAUGUCGCCGCCUAAACUCUUGCUUCAUGCUUCCUGCAGGCACUGUAAGGAUAGAAUCUGUUAAAGGAGGUUUUUGAACUGCAGCAGUUUGGGCACGUGGACGGCUGCUUGCUAGAUCAUCUGAAUCCACAAAUUCAUCUUCACUUGAAGCAAACUUGGAAGACAAAGGCGUGAAUCCAGGAAGGGCCAAGCUGUACUCAAGGAGCUCAGUUUCAUGCUUGUACUUCAUUUGGAUUCUUUGGAGGCUCACUUCAGUCUCCGUCGCCUCUCUUUUUUUCUCCUCCCGCUUAAUCAGAGCCUCAAGUAUUGUCUUUAGCUUGGUUGAGGUUUCGCCUAACCUGGCGAAGCUUUUCAAAUGACUGCACAUUAUUUUCCCUCCUUUGCAUCCUUCUUGUGUGGAGUCUGUGAGCUUUUUCCCUUGGCCUGAAGACAUUGUACGGAUUGGUGUCAUUAACUGGUGGAGGAGGCUGCAAG